CUUUGUUGGGCCAAUCGGGAGGAGGGCGCUUCUCAGUCUCCCAGGGUGCUUCGCUCUCCAGUUCAGUGUACUCCACCACUCGCUCCACCGAGGUCAUCUGAAGACAGCAAAUAUGCAUUACACCCUCGUGGCCAGGAGUGUGACUGCGUAGGUCAAAGCCAGACCAACGGAGCCAGCGUCCAGCUCUAUGACAACCAGCAGGCAUCCGAAGAUGGUGAUGCUAACAAAGAUGGCGCACAUGCCGUCGAGACGAACGGCGAACCAGCGAGAGGUGGUGAGGAACAAGAACCAGGCCUCUGUGCAGAAAGAGGAAAUACAUCAACGGGCCGCCUCAAAAGAGUCGGAUUUUA